AGGGGUUCUGUCCAGGAAGGAACAGUCAGAUGGUGACGAGUCAGGGGUUCUGUCCAGGAAGGAACAGUCAGAUGGUGACGAGUCAGGGGUUCUGUCCAGGAAGGAACAGUCAGAUGGUGACGAGUCAGGGGUUCUGUCCAGGAAGGAACCGUCAGAUGGUGACGAGUCAGGGGUUCUGUCCAGGAAGGAACCGUCAGAUGGUGACGAGUCAGGGGUUCUGUCCAGGAAGGAACAGUCAGAUGGUGACGAGUCAGGGGUUCUGUCCAGGAAGGAACAGUCAGAUGGUGACGAGUCAGGGGUUCUGUCCAGGAAGGAACAGUCAGAUGGUGACGAGUCAGGGGUUCUGUCCAGGAAGGAACAGUCAGAUGGUGACGAGUCAGGGGUUCUGUCCAGGAAGGAACAGUCAGAUGGUGACGAGUCAGGGGUUCUGUCCAGGAAGGAACAGUCAGAUGGUGACGAGUCAGGGGUUCUGUCCAGGAAGGAAAGUCGAAUAGAAAUAUGUUAUAUAGAACAGACAUGUUGAGGAAAGAAUCAUGUCCAAUUGAUUGCAUUUCUAUCUGUGUUCAAUAUGUUGUUGUACUUUUUUUAACACAACCCUCUUGUUGUUGGAACUUGUUGCCCAGGGUUGUUUUGUCGUUGUUGGCUGCAUGCCAAAUGGACCCUAUUCCUAUCUAGUGGUAAUAGUCCACUGCUUUGCUCUGGUUAGAAGUAGUGCCAUAAUACAGGGAAGGGUAUCCCUAUCUCGGUCCUCGUUCUGUUUGUUUGCCCUGACACUACACAGCUGAUUCAAAGCUUAACGGUGAGUUGAUUCUUUGAAUCAGUUGUGUAGUGCUAUGGGCAAACGCAAAACAAAAUGUUCCCCUCCUUUGGGGUCUCCAGGACCAAGUCUGGUUAAAAACCUGCUGUAGGGAAUAAGGUGCCAUUUGGUAUGUAGCCUUUGUCUGUUCACGUGACUUCAGGGUGUGAGCACCUUGUCAGCCAUAUUACAUUUUGUGUCUGCUUGUUUGACUAUGAAAUGAGUACAUGCCAUACUGUAUGUAGUUGAAAAGUUAUUUUAUCAGGAAUAAAUACCAAUCUGUUAUAAUGGCAAAUACACACUUUCUCUCCCCUCCCCACACAACAUUUACAUUUUAGUCAUUUAGCAGACGCUCUUAUCCAGAGCGACUUACAGUAGUGAAUGCAUACAUUUCAUACGUUAUUUUUUUUCCUGUGGGAAUCGAACCCACAACAAUGGCGUCGCAAACACCAUGCUCUACCAACUAAGCUACAGAGAAGCUACAGAGAAGCUACAGAGAAGCUACAGAGAAGCUACAGAGAAGCUACAGAGAAGCUACAGAGAAGCUACAGAGAAGCUACAGAGAAGCUACAGAGAAGCUACAGAGAAGCUACAGAGAAGCUACAGAGCACAACUCUUGUCAUGAUGGUACUUCAUUUAGCCUGGUCCUAGAUCUGUUUUGUGCUCUUGUCAACUCGAUCUCAUUUGUCAAGCCAAAUGGCAAGACCAGGAGUUGGCAUGAUGGCACCAACAGACUGGCAUUCAGGCUAGUAUAAUGAUAAUAGUUGUUUGCUCCAAGACUUUUCUAGUCAGAAUAUAUUGAUGUUAAUGUGAAAAUGUAAUUUUAAUGGGUUGGACACAUUCAAGUAAAAACUCACUGAGAGAAAUGUAAUCAUAGGAAAACAACUGUUGAAAAAUCACUUUUUUUUUUUUACAGAAUAUUCCAAAAUUAAGAAAGGUUUUCCUUCGUCAACAUUCACAGAAAGUAUGAAAAGAUAUGAUUCCCAAAUGGGACCCUAUUCCUCAUUUAGGGCAUCUUUGACCAGGGCUCUGUAGUGCCCUAAAUAGUGAAUAUGGUGAAAUUUGGAACGCAAAUGUAAUGGCACCAUUGGCAGCGAUUACAGCCUCGAGUCUUCUUGGGUAUGAUGCUACAAGCUUGGCACACCAGUAUUCUUCUCUGCAGAUCCUCUCAAGCUCUGUCAGGUUGGAUGGGGAGCGUCACUGCACAACUAUUUUCAGGUCUCUCCAGAGAUGUUCGAUCGGGUUCAAGUCCGGGCUCUGGCUGGGCCACUCAAAGACAUUGAGACUUGUCCCGAAACCACUCCUACAUUGUCUUGGCUACUUUCCUAGUCCCUGCCGCUGAUAAACAUCCCCAAAGCAUGACGCUGCCACCACCAUGCUUCAGCGUAGGGAUGGUGCCAGGUUUCCUCUAGAUGUGACGCUUGGCAUUCAAGCCAUAGAGUUGGUUUUCAUCAGACCAGAGAAUCUUGUUUCUAAACCCAAACAGGAUGUUCAGAAAAACAGUUAUUCUUCUUUGGUGUGUGUGUUGAUUCUGAGAAAGGGAACCAUCCUUUAGGUCCACGUAAUGAGAUAUGUGACAUGUUAAAUACCUCAGACUAAUUUCCAUGUCAUGUCAUAUGGUCUCAUGAGAUACGACAUGUAUGUAAUAUAUGUAUAUAUAUAUUUGACUGGCCUUUGAUAGUGCGUCCAAGCAGAUCAGAGUGUAUGACUCAAAGGGCUCCCCGCCGAGGCUUCGGGUACGAGGCUUCCGGUCCGAGGCUUCGGGUUCGAGGCUUCGGGUUCGAGGCUUCGGGUUCGAGGCUUCGGGUGCGAGGCUUCGGGUGCGAGGCUUCGGGUUCGAGGCUUCGGGUGCGAGGCUUCGGGUGCGAGGCUUCGGGUGCGAGGCUUCGGGUGCGAGGCUUCGGGUGCGAGGCUUCGGGUGCGAGGCUUGCUGAGGUACCUCAACCCUCUCCCUACUUCAGAUUCCAAAACACAUGGGAAAUCUUGGUUGUGAUAUAUUUAAGCAAUAAGGCCCGAGGCGGUGUGGUAUAUGGCCAAUUUACCACGGCUAAGGGCUGUUCUUAUGCACGACGCAACACGGUAUGGAUACACCCCUUAGCCGUGGUAUUUUGGCCAUAUAUCACAAAUCCCAGAGGUGCCUUAUUGCUUAUAAACUGGUUACCAACGUAAUUAGAACAAAACAUUAUUAUAAUUUUUUUCAUACCCAUGGUAUAUGGUCUGAUAUAACACGGCUUUCAGCCAAUCAAAUUAAAUUGUAUUUCACGUGCCGAAUACAACAGACCUUACUGUGAAAUGCAAGCCCUUAACCAACAAUGUGGUUUAAGAAAUUGUUAAAAUAUUUACUAAAUGAACUAAAGAUAUAAAAAUGUACAAGUAACACAACACAAUAAAAUAACAAUAACGAGGCUAUAAACAGGGUAUUACGGUACAGAGUCAAUGUGGAGGCUAUAUACAGGGGGGUACUGGUACAGAGUCAAUGUGGAGGCUAUAUACAGGGGGGUACUGGUGCAGAGUCAAUGUGGAGGCUAUAUACAGGGGGUACCGGUACAGAGUCAAUGUGGAGGCUAUAUACAGGGUAUUACGGUACAGAGUCAAUGUGGAGGCUAUAUACAGGGGGGUACCGGUACACAGUCAAUGUGGAGGCUAUAUACAGGGGGUACCGGUACAGAGUCAAUGUGGAGGCUAUAUACAGGGGGUACCGGUACAGAGUCAAUGUGGGGGCUAUAUACAGGGGGGUACCAGUACAGAGUCAAUGUGGAGGCUAUAUACAGGGGGUACCGGUACAGAGUCAAUGUGGAGGCUAUAUACAGGGGGUACCGGUACAGAGUCAAUGUGCGGGGGUACAGGUUAGUCGAGGUAGUUUGUACAUGGAGGUAGGGGUAAAGUGACUGUGCAUAGAUCAUAAACAGCGAGGAGCAGUGGGGGGGCGUGGUAAAUAGUCCGGGUGGCCAUUUGAUUAAUUGUUCAGCAGUCUUAUGGCUUGGGGGGUAGAAGCUUUUUAGGAGCCUCUUGGACCUAGACUUGGCGCUCCGGUACCGCUUGCCGUGCGGUAGCAGAGAGAACAGUCUGACUAGGGUGGCUGGAGUCUUCGACGAUUUUAGGGAACGGUUCCCUAUUUUGGGCUUUCCUCUGACACCGCCUGGUAUAGAGGUCCUGGAUGUCAGGAAGCUUGGCCCUAGUGACGUACUGGGUCGUACGCACUACCCUCUGUAGCGCCUUACGGUCAGAUGCCGAACAGUUGCCAAUCCAGGCGGUGAUGCAACCGGUCAGGAUGCUCUCGAUGGUGCAGCUGUAGAACUUUUUGAGGAUCUGGGAACCAUGCCAAAUCUUUUCAGUGUCCUGAGGGGGAACGCUGUUGUCGCGCCCUCUUCACAACUGUCUUGGUGUGUUUGGACCAUGAUAGUUUGUUGGUGUUGUGGAAACCAACUCUCAACCUGCUCCACUACAGCCCCGUCGAUGUGAAUGGGGGCGUGUUCGGCCCUCCUUUUCCUGUAGUCCACGAUCAUCUCCUUUGUCUUGCUCAUGUGGAGGGAGAGGUUGUUGUCCUGGCACCACACUGCCAGGUCUCUGACAUCCUCCCUAUAGGCUGUCUCAUCGUUGUCGGUAAUCAUGCCUACCACUGUUGUCAUCAGCAAACUUAAUGAUGGUGUUGGAGUUGCGCUUGGCCACGCAGUCGUGGGUGAACAGGGAAUACAGAAGAGGACUAACCACGCACCCCUGAGGGGCCCCUGUGUUGAGGAUCAGUGUGGCAGAUGUGUUGUUACCUACCCUCACCACCUGGAGUCGGCCCAUCAGAAGCUCCAGGAUCCAGUUGCAGAGGGAGGUGUUUAGUCCCAGGGUCCUUAGCUUAGUGAUGACUUUUGUGGGCACUGUGGUGUUGAACGCUGAGCUGUAGUCAAUGAACAGCAUUCUCACAUUGGUGUUCCUUUUGUCCAGGUGGGAAAAGGCAGCGUGGAGUGCGAUUUGAGAUUGCGUCAUCUGUGGAUCUGCGAAUUGGAGUGGGUCUAGGGUUUCCUGGAUGAUGGUGUUGACGUGAGCCAUGACCAGCCUUUCAAAGCACUUCAUGGCUACAGACGUGAGUGCCGCGGGUCAGUAGUAAUUUAGGCAGGUUACCUUAGUGUUCUUGGUCACAGAGACUAUGGUGGUCUGCUUGAAACGUGUAGGUAUUACAGACUAGGUCAGGGAGAGAUUGAAGACACUUGGCAGUUGGUUCGUGCAUGCUCUGAGUACACGUCCUGGUAAUCCGUCUGUGAAUGUUGACCUGUUUUAAAGGUCUUGCUCACAUCGGCUACGAAGAGCGUGAUCACACAGUCUUCCGGAACAGCUGGUGCUCUCAUGCAUGCUUCAGUGUUGCUUUAGUCUUCAGUGAUUUCACGUUGGCCAAUAGAAUGGAGGGUAGAGGCGGGUUACUCACUCGCCGAUCAAUUCUCACAAGGCACCCUUAAUUCCGCCCCCUGUAUUUCCAUAUUUUCUUCACACAAAUGACAGGGAUUUGGGCCUGGUCUCGGAGGAAGCAGUAUAUCCUUCGUCGGACUCAUAAAAAUAAAAAAAUCUUCGUUCAGUUCGAAGUGAGUAAUCCCAGUUCUGAUGUCCAGAAGCUCUUUUCGGUCAUAAGAGACGGUAGCAGCAACAUUAUGUACAAAACAAGUUACAAACAAUGCAAAUAAACACACAAAAUAGUACAGUUGGUUUGGAGCCUGUAAAACGGCAGCCAUUAUUUUAUUCAGAGCUUGAACCACCCGGUUUGUAAUAACCCUUUACACUCGUGGGAAUUGGCCUAUAUGGGCUAAAUUGAUAUGUUUCUUACAGAAGAAAUUUGAAAAACAUGCAUAACCUUUUGUAGUAAUUGAAAGGAUUAGAUUAGACCAAAAGUGAGGAUAACAGUAGCAGAAGUGUAUUAACGAAAUCUGAAAAUACUCUUGAUACAAUCGGAAACAUGAUAAGAAUAUUCCUGGAAAAUGCAGUGCAUUCGGAAAGUAUAUUUCUGUGCAACUUCCGGCGCACGUUUUCAGAACACUGAGGCUGUACUCGCUUUAAGUUACAGUUUUACUGUGAACACUGAGACUGUACCCGCUUUAAGUUACAGUUUCACUGUGAACACUGAGGCUGUACCCGCUUUAAGUUACAGUUUUAACAGUGGCCAAGUAGGCUACUGUGUCUAUUUGAUCAUAAUGUCGGACUACCAGAGUUGUCUACCAUCAAAAACAAUGGAGAAAAUGCAUCUCAUACAUAUUUUAACAUGGAAAUAGCUGUUCUAUCAUUCAGCCUACAGUAGCAGCCAAUGUGUGGUGUUCAAUGUAUUUUUUUAUUUCACCUUUAUUUAACCAGGUAGGCCAGAUAAGAACAAGUUCUCAUUUACAACUGUGACCUGGCCAAGAUAAAGCAUAGCAGUUCGACAACAUACAACAACAACAACACAGAGCUACACAUAAACAAACAUACAGUCAAUAACACAAUAGAAAAAAAUCUAUAUACAGUGUGUGCAAAUGAAGUAAGAUUAGGGAGGUAAGGCAAUAAAUAGGCCGCAGUGGUGAAAUAAUUACAAUUUAGCAAUUAAACACUGGAGUGAUAGAUGUGCAGAAGAUGAAUGUGCAAGUAAGCCUACAUUCCAUGAGACUUUUGGAGCAAAAGAAACAUGCAGGCUUGGCAUUAACCUGUUUAUCCACUUGUCCAUCAGACAAGGAGGGGACCACUUUACAAAAUAAAAAUACAUUAUUAUUCCCAUACCAUUAUUAUCAGAGGAAACUCCAGAAAGUUGAGUGAAGUUGAAUCUCGUGCUUCUCUGCACGCGCUAAAAUGUCUUCUGGAUGGCAGUCAUGCAGCUUAGAGGGUUCUGAGUGUUGGAUGUUCUGAACUAAGAUGUUCAACUCCAUCAUAUUGUUGCUGAUGUAUUAGAGAUGUUCAGCUCCAUCAGGCCGUCCAUUGUAAAUAAGAAUUUGUUCUUAACUGACUUGGCUCGUUUAAUAAUAAAAACUGUAAUAAUCCUCAGUGUGGGUCGUUAGGUUCAACCUAAGACAUAUUGUUUCUGUAUUAUAUGGAAGUUCAUGUAUCCAGAUAAGUAUUGAAUAAUCUUGAAAGACAAAGCUGUUCUUCCCUAUUAACACGUAUGCCAUUUAUUUUGUGAGUAUGCAAUGUCACCAUCGAAUUGUAAUACCAGCUUUUUAUUUUGUAAGUAUGCAAUGUCACCAUCGAAUUGUAACACCAGCACACCGUUCUUACAGCUAUGUCAAGUAAAUCUCAUCUAUUGUGUUAUUGUUGCAGAUAGGCUCUAGAAGAAAACGAAAGUUAUAAAUCCUAUCUUUGUUAUUGUGGUCUGCUUCUACUGAACAAAAUAUAAACGCAACACCUGCGCCUCUCAAAUGUUGUAACAGUCCGUAUCGACGUG
rnacentral:lncRNA from 1 species